UUGGCAGGUAGCAGUUGGAACUUUGUUUUUUUGUUUCUUUAAUUAAAUAACUACCUAUUGUCGGAUUCGGAUUUACCGCCAAUUAGUAUUCACUAUUUCUUUUGGUGUGUGCUAAGCAGUGUAAGACAAGGAACUUAAAGGAAAGAAGAUGGAACGCUGGUAUAAGAAAUGCCAAAGAGCCCUCGUGCAAUGCCAAGUUUCAAGAAUUAAUGUGCUAGACCACAUUGCUCUACUGUAAAAUGGCCGGUUACUGCUUUGAUUGCCCAUGCCCGUAUUUCUCUACUAAAACACUUAUAUGAAUGGUCGUAGUGAAUUUGAAAAGGAUUCUUAUUGCAGACAUCCAUCCCAGAUGUAAGAAAGGUUAGCAGCAGAGGUAUUAAUUUUCAUGAAUCGUCAUCACAUUCCACGUUGAGGUGGGUGUGUGUUUCUUAUUAAAUUUAUGUUGACUUGAGGAUGAGUGAAAUGA